UACGAGGGGGGCAAGCGUUGUUCGGAAUUAUUGGGCGUAAAGGGCGCGUAGGCGGUGCGGUAAGUCUGUUGUGAAAUCUCCGGGCUCAACUCGGAGUCUGCAUCAGAAACUGCCGUGCUUGAGUGUGGGAGAGGUGAGUGGAAUUCCCGGUGUAGCAGUGAAAUGCGUAGAGAUCGGGAGGAACACCAGUGGCGAAGGCGGCUACCUGGACCAGCACUGACACUGAAGCACGAAAGCGUGGGG
rnacentral:rRNA from 1 species